rnacentral:rRNA from 1 species
AUACGAAGGGGGCUAGCGUUGUUCGGAAUCACUGGGCGUAAAGCGCACGUAGGUGGAUCAAUCAGUUGAGGGUGAAAUCCCGGGGCUCAACCUCGGAACUGCCUUCAAUACUGUUGGUCUUGAGUCGGAGAGAGGUGAGUGGAAUUCCUAGUGUAGAGGUGAAAUUCGUAGAUAUUAGGAAGAACACCAGUGGCGAAGGCGGCUCACUGGCUCGGUACUGACGCUGAGGUGCGAAAGCGUGGGUAGCAAACAGGAUUAGAAACCCCAGUAGUCC